UACGGGGGGGAGCAAGCGUUGUUCGGAUUUACUGGGCGUAAAGGGCGCGUAGGCGGACCUGCAAGUCGGGGGGUGAAAGCCCGAGGCUCAACCUCGGAACUGCCUUCGAUACUGCGGGUCUCGAGUCCGGGAGAGGUGAGUGGAAUUCCUAGUGUAGAGGUGUAAUUCGUAGAUAUUAGGAAGAACACCAGUGGCGAAGGCGGCUCACUGGCCCGGUACUGACGCUG
rnacentral:rRNA from 1 species